AUUGAACGCUGGCGGCAGGCCUAACACAUGCAAGUCGAACGGAUGGGCGAACGGGUGAGGAAUGUAUCGGAACGGGCCCAUGAGCGGGGGAGAACGACGCGAAAGCGUAGCGAAAACCGCAUACUAUUGGCACGGGCGAUAUCGGAUUAGCUAUUGGGUGGGGUAACGGCUCACCAAGGCGACGAUCCGUAGCUGGUUUGAGAGGACGACGAGCCACACUGGGACUGAGACACGGUCCAGACUCCUACGGGAGGCAGCAGUGGGGAAUUUUGCACAAUGGGGGAAACCCUGAUCCAGCCAUCCCGCGUGUAUGAUGAAGGCCUUCGGGUUGUAAAGUACUUUUGGCAGGAAAGCGGUACCCGCAGAAUAAGCACCGGCUAACUCCGUGCCAGCAGCCGCGGUAAUAC
rnacentral:rRNA from 1 species